rnacentral:lncRNA from 1 species
CACUAUCUUUAAGUAUAAUUUAACUAAUACUCAAAGCCCCCUUUGGUUUGGGGGUAACAAAUAUUGGGAUAAACUUUUUUAUCCAUGAAAUAGCUUGCUAUUCUGGAAUAGUCAGGAAUAAAAGUAAAAUUAUGCUUGGUUUGUAAUGAUGUAUUUUUAGGAAUAAUUAAAAUUGUGUUGGGUUAAUUUUAUGGAAUAGUAGAGGAUAGUGGAGAAAAAUAAUCGUUGCAUUUGAUAUAUAAUAUAUAAUUUAAUAAUAAUUAUUUAAAUAUAAUUUACUAUAAAAUUUAUUAUAAUAUUUAAAUAUAAAUAACAUGUAUAAAUAUAGUAUAAUUAAUAAUUUUAUAAUAAAAACAAUAUAUUAUAAUAUAUAAUAUAUUAUAUCUAUAUAAUUUAAUUUUAAUUCAAUUUAUUAUUUUAAUAAAGUCUGAAAUUAAACCUUAGAAUAGCACUAUUCUACCAAAAUGGUUGAAUAGCAAAUCCCAAGCUAUUCUAGGAUAGCCGAGAAUAGCAAGAUUUGACCGGAAAAAAAUAUCCCGGCCAAAAAGCACCUAGUUUAGCAGAAUAGUGGGAAAUAACUUUUGUUAUCGCUAGUUUAUCCCUGAACCAAACAGAACUUAUUUUUGAACCUCCAAAUACCUCAUAAUAAAUUUUUUCUAUACUCAUAGCAUAAUUAAACUAUGCUCUAAAAAAAAAUAGCAUCCAAACAGGCCCUAAACCUAGAAUCC